CUUGAGCCGGGGGUCUUUCGGAAACAGCCUUUCUACUUCAUCAGAGGUAGAGGUAUGGACUGCGUACAUCUUACCCCCCCCAGACCCCACUAAGUGGGAAUACACUGGGUUUGUUGUUGUUGUAUAUGGAAGUACUGUGACAAAGUAGGACCUCAACUUAAUACUUUCUCUAUUUAAGGGUGCAUACUUUAGUUCAUAUGAUGAUGAUAGCUAAUGAUGAAAGCGGCUUUAGCUCAUAUGAUUGAGCAUUAUUUCCAAAGCAAGUAUAAGAAGUGAUAAUAUUAGACUUGCAAGUACUAUAGUUUAAGAGAAAGGCCUGAUGACCCCUAGCUUAGAGUUUUAUCCAAGGCCAUAUUUUUGGAGAGUAUUAUUCUUUAUAGAAUCAAGUUGUCAAUGGUUAAUAUCAACAUUUAAAAGAUCAGAACAGACAAGAAAAAGAGGGUAUUUGAAGCGUAAGACACAGGGUCUUGGGAUGAACUAUGGUUCCACUCUCCUGCUAUAGGGGAAUUGAUAGAGUAUCUUGUCCUCCGUCUACCCUGUUAUUUGUUAACUUGUAAUUUUACAUUAUGUAUUACAUGACUAUAUUCUUCUCUGUGAGGCAUGCAUUUUUCAUGAUAUUAGGCAGUAAUAUUUUUUAUUUUUUUUUGCUUAUCUUAUUUGUAAGUGAUUGAUAGGACUUGAGGCAGAUCACGGUGUACAUUUUGUUUGCUUAUCUUAUUUGUAAGUGAUUGAUAGGACUUGAGGCAGAUCACGGUGUACAUUUUGUUCGAGGUUCUAUACCAGCUCUUUCUUGAAUACUGCAAGUGCAACCAAUACUAGAAAUCCAAAUACUAAUCAUAAUGCACCCUCUGAUGCCACUCAAAAUGCAGGCAGAUUAUUUGCUGGAUCAGGCCUUGAGGCUUCACUGUUUUCUGGUCUUAGAAGUGGUGGUGGUGGUUUAUUUGUAGUUGGCCUUCCAGAUUUUGAGUAGGUGCAGCAGCAAUUGACCCAAAAUCUCAAUAUGAUGAGAGACAUAUUAAAUAUGCCUCUUGUUAAGAAUUUAAUAAACAACCCAGAAAUCAUCUGUAACCUAAUAAUGAACAAUCCUCAAAUGCGAUAGAUCAUGGAUCAUAAUCCAGAGCUUGCCCAUAUUCUCAAUGAUCCUUCUACUCUACGUCAGACAAUAGAGGCUGCAUGAAACUCCAAACAUAUGUAUGAGAUGAUGCAUAAUACAGAUAGGGCAAUGAACCAUAAUGAAUCUUCUCCUGAGGGAUUUAACAUGCUGAGGCAUGUGUAUGAAAAUGUCCAAGACCAUUUUCUAAUUGCAACAACUAUGGGUGGCGAUGGAAGAAGUGAUGUUAGUUCAAACCCGUUAGCAAUGCUUUUGGGUGCCCAGGGUGUCAGGCAAGGUAGAGAGCAGUCAACUAAUCCACAAAGUACUAGUUCUGAGGCUACUGCUAAUACACCUGCUCCAAACACUAUUCCACUUCCUAAUCCUUGGGCUACAGCUGGCAAGUGGGGGAUAACGGUGGUGGCUGGGUUGCAUGUCUUGACUAUUCCACCAGUACCUUCUACCUCUCACAAUGAAUAUAACGGCACUAUUAGGUCAAAUGCUGCUGGGAAACGAGGGCACCACCCCCUACUGGCUUAGGUGGACUUGCGCUGACAGAUCUUGAGUGAAUUCUAGGUGUCAUACCAGAUGAUACUUCAAUAAAUCAGAUGAUGUAGAAUCCAGCCGUCUCAUAGAUGAUGCAGUCUCUCCUCUCAAAUCCUCAGUACAUAAACCAGAUGCUUGGGCACAAUCCACAGCUAAGGAACAUGCUUGAUUCUAACUCCCAUCUUCAAGAAGUGAUGCAAAACCCUGAACUUAUUUGGCAGAUGAUUUCCCCCUAACACAAUACAGGCAAUU